rnacentral:rRNA from 1 species
AGAGUUUGAUCCUGGCUCAGAGCGAACGCUGGCGGCAGGCCUAACACAUGCAAGUCGAGCGCCCGUAGCAAUACGGGAGCGGCAGACGGGAUAGUAACACGUGGGAACGUACCUUUCAGUUCGGAACAACCCAGGGAAACUUGGGCUAAUACCGAAUACGCCCGUAAGGGGAAAGAUUUAUCGCUGAAAGAUCGGCCCGCGUCUGAUUAGCUAGUUGGUGAGGUAAUGGCUCACCAAGGCGACGAUCAGUAGCUGGUCUGAGAGGAUGAUCAGCAUCACUGGGACUGAGACACGGCCCAGACUCCUACGGGAGGCAGCAGUGGGGAAUAUUGGACAAUGGGCGCAAGCCUGAUCCAGCCAUGCCGCGUGGAUGAUGAAGGCCCUAGGGUUGUAAAGUCCUUUCGGCGGGGAAGAUAAUGACGGUACCCGCAGAAGAAGCCCCGGCUAACUUCGUGCCAGCAGCCGCGGUAAUACGAAGGGGGCUAGCGUUGCUCGGAAUCACUGGGCGUAAAGCGCACGUAGGCGGACUCUUAAGUCGGUGGUGAAAUCCUGGAGCUCAACUCCAGAACUGCCUUCGAUACUGGGAGUCUUGAGUCCGGGAGAGGUGAGUGGAACUGCGAGUGUAGAGGUGAAAUUCGUAGAUAUUCGCAAGAACACCAGUGGCGAAGGCGGCUCACUGGCCCGGUACUGACGCUGAGGUGCGAAAGCGUNNNGAGCAAACAGGAUUAGAUACCCUGGUAGUCCACGCCGUAAACGAUGGAUGCUAGCCGUUGGACAGCUUGCU